AAUGAACGUUGGCGGCAGGCUUAACACAUGCAAGUCGAACGAAAAGCAGUCUUCGGACUGUGGAUUCGUGGCGGACGGGUGAGUAUAAUAUAGAGAUCUACCGAGCACUGGGGGAUAACAGUUGGAAACGACUGAUAAUACCGCAUACGCCAUAUUGGGAAAACUAAGGUGGUGUUCGAUGAGUCUAUACCGGAUUAGCUAGUUGGUGGGGUAAAGGCCUACCAAGGCGACGAUCUGUAGCUGGUUUGAGAGGAUGAUCAGCCACACUGGGACUGAGACACGGCCCAGACUCCUACGGGAGGCAGCAGUGAGGAAUAUUGCACAAUGGGCGAAAGCCUGAUGCAGCCAUGCCGCGUGAAUGAAGAAGGUUUUAGGAUUGUAAAGUUCUUUCAAUGGUGAGAAUAGUGAUGUUAACCAUAGAAGAAGUCCCGGCUAACUCCG
rnacentral:rRNA from 1 species